GUGUGGUCGGAGAAUUCUAUAAGUACGAUGGAAAAUUAGUCCUAUUUGUGUUUUUUGGUUGAAACAAUACGUUGUUGGUUAUGUAAAUAUUUUUUCUCCAAAAGCAGUUGUCCAUUCAUUUUUAGGUUUCAGAUCACAAAUUCUGUGAACAAGCCAAUUAUAGUUCUCGGCUAAGGUAAAAAUAUGUCUCUAAAAUCCUUGAUAUUAUGGUUACUAAUGCAGACCUUUGAGUACUUCAGUAGUAGUGUAGUCCUUCUUAAAAAACAGAUUGAAAAGUUCAACUAUUCUUAAAUGUUGUAAAACCUUUGUACUAAUUUUUCGCCUGCUAUGUCGAGCUGUUAAUAGUUCGUACAUUAUAGCAUAAGCUGACUUCAUUUUUCUUAGCGUUAGUAGAUAACUUAUGCAAAGAAAUAAUCUUCCAAAAUUGAGACUUAUGCCGUAAAUUCCUUAUAGUUCAUGAUGACUGGUGUAAUAUCUUACUAGACAUAUAAUUUAUGCUCUUUCUUCAGAGAAUCUCCUUGAUACACACCUUGCCACAUGGAGCUGUAUGUACGCAUCAUAAAAUUCACUAUAGACAUGGUUAAAUCAAAUACAUGACUACACUUGAACCAAUUUUAAAAUUCAACCAAAAAAAUGCAUCUCAAAUAUAAAUCUAUAAAGUACAGAAGUUCGAGGACACUAUUUCUCUCAUUGAAAUAUUUAGAGGCAAGUAAUUAAAAUAGUCUAAUGGAGAGAUGUUAGGCAACUGGAAAGAUAGUACAAGUAUAACCAAUAGUUGAUUUUCCUGGUACCUACCCUUGCGUACCAUUAAUGCUUGAUAAAGUGAUACUCGAUUUUAAGGAAUGCAAACUGAAUUAUCCGAAGGACUCCCCUACAGUGAAAAACAUAAGGAUCAUUACAAGAUUUACUUAAUCAAAAAAAAGGAUCAUGCAAAACUCUAGUUACCUACGGGAGAAGCAUUACAAGAUUUACUAUAUUUCGAGAUCUGUUAGAUCAUUUAUAUAUUAAAUAUAACACUUAAUACAAUUAUCAAAUAUACAAUACAAAUUUAAGAAAGGGGGUUUAGAUGCACUUUGUUUUAUGAUUAAGCUUUCAAUUGAGUUCUCAAAAUCAUCUAGAACUUACCAAUAUUCUCUCUGUUUUGUUCUGCUGCAUUUUGUUUCUUUGCCUGUUGUCCAAGUCUAUAUUUUCUGCAGAACCAAAAAAAAGGGGGACAAAUCCGCCUAAUAAGUUCUUGACAGGGCAAAAACAUCGAUGAAUAUAGAUACAGAUGCCUGACUCUACCUGCAAAUGACUCUUCAAAUGAUACAGUAUGAAGCCCUUCAAUCCCAUUAACUUUAGUACUGACUUGGGAGUUGUUUUUGCAAAUUCAUGGACUUUUAACAAACAUUGCAGACUCUAAAAUAGAAACCACAAAUCCAAAACACCGUUAACUCAUUAGCACAAGCGAGAAAGUAAACCCGAUUCUUCCACGCAAUGUGCAUGCAUUACAUGGACCUCUCAAACAUUUACAUGUAAUACAAAUUCUAGUAACUUUGCUUCUGGUGAGUCUAAGGCUUAACGAACAUGUUCUCGUGCUGAGCAGGAAUGCAGUUCAACAUUAAAGGCAGAUGGAAAGAUAGCCGACAAUAGUUUAGCUGAUGAAAUUGUAAACCAACAAAGCUACCAGAAACGUAUACUAGAACUUAUUCUUGACGUUCUGCAAAGGUUAGUAUUCAUCCUCAAAUUAGAUUAAGUUUGAUAUUUAUCACAUCAUGCAUACUAUAAGGAAUACAUUUAACAUCUUACUACUUUGUUGUUAAGAGGGACACCCAUGAAACAUUUGCAGAACCAGAUGAUCCCAUUGAGGUUCCAUUGAUCUUAUUACUGACUUCGGUUUUUGAAGGCCAUGUAUUCUUACUGACUUACAUCUCCUGCUUCUUUUAAGGUGGAAGAUUACUAUGAAAUCAUUAAAGAAUCUAUGAAUUUUGAUACAAUGAGGCUAAGCUUCCUCAAAUAAUUUAUCAAAACCUCCAACAGUUUGAGGUCAUAUUUUCCCCUAAAUUAGGGCUUUAGGUUUAUUUGCAUAUCUGGAUAAUCUUUUUCUUUUCCCUUCAAGUCAGAGUGGAUUGGGAUGAAAUUUGAGGAAGCAGGAUCAAGUUGUGCCAGCCCUUCUCUUUCUAAUAUAGUUGAUUUUAACAGCACGUGAACCUCCAAUCACAUCCCAUAUUUGUGAAAUGCAUUAUCUGUUAACACAACCAUCAAUCAUUAAUUUACAAGAAUAUUCCUACAUCUAAUGUCUAUUUAAUUUCGAGAACAUGCAUUCAGGUGAUCUAUCACUCAACUUGGUAGAUGUUGCUACUUACUACUUGUUUAAUUUUCAGAGUCUAUCAGUGUAGUCGACCAACUAGAAAGAAGUUCUCAGCAAAUGUCAUUCUCAGUUGAGUCAGAAGCAUAUCAAAAUGGCUUUAAAUAUUUGAUUAGUUUACAAGUCUCAGACCCAAAGAGAAGAUGAGGUUAUCAUUUUGCAGAGAGAGUUGCGAAAAUUUUCAAAUUUCAUAUUUAAAUGUAAUGACUUAUAUUGGGUUGUACCAUGCUACAUUGCUACUGAUGGAAUGUUAAUCUGAUUUUUGUAAUUGAUUAUAUAUAUACAACAACAACGACUCAG